GGAAAAGUCGUGAUGUAUUUUU
rnacentral:miRNA from 1 species